UCGGGGGACAGGGUGACAGGUGGUGCAUGGUUGUCGUCAGCUCGUGUCGUGAGAUGUUGGGUUAAGUCCCGCAACGAGCGCAACCCUCGACCUUAGUUGCCAGCAUUCAGUUGGGCACUCUAAGGUGACUGCCGGCUAAAAGUCGGAGGAAGGUGGGGAUGACGUCAAAUCAUCAUGCCCCUUAUGACCUGGGCUACACACGUGCUACAAUGGGCGGUACAAAGGGUCGCGAACCCGCGAGGGGGAGCCAAUCCCAAAAAGCCGCUCUCAGUUCGGAUUGCAGGCUGCAACUCGCCUGCAUGAAGCCGGAAUCGCUAGUAAUCGCGGAUCAGCAUGCCGCGGUGAAUACGUUCCCGGGCCUU
rnacentral:rRNA from 1 species